CCUACGGGUGGCAGCAGUGGGGAAUAUUGCGCAAUGGGCGAAAGCCUGACGCAGCGACGCCGCGUGAGGGAUGAAGGUCUUCGGAGCGUAAACCUCUGUCAGCAGGGAAGAACGGUCACUGUGCUAAUCAGCAGUGAAUUGACGGUACCUGCAAAGGACGCACCGGCUAACUCCGUGCCAGCAGCCGCGGUAAUACGGAGGGUGCGUGCGUUAAUCUGAAUUUCUGGGCGUAAAGCGCUCGUAGGCGGUAUGUCAAGUCAAGUGUGAAAUCCCCGCGCUCAACGUGGGAACUGCCUUUGAAACUGGCAAACUGGAGUAUGUGAGAGGAUAGUGGAAUUCCAGGUGUAGGAGUGAAAUCCGUAGAUAUCUGGAGGAACAUCAGUGGCGAAGGCGACUAUCUGGCACAUAACUGACGCUGAGGAGCGAAAGCGUGGGUAGCAAACAGGAUUAGAUACCCUAGUAGUC
rnacentral:rRNA from 1 species